UCUGAAUAAAAACAUCUUUGGGCCUCAUUUGCACCCCAGGCCCCCCAGGCUCCGCCAGGCUGGGUGGGUGGAGGUGCAGGCAGUGGUGGAGAGCUGAGUCCUGGACUGGCCUAGCAGACCCCAGUCCUGGCUGCACCGCCUCAACCACGUGACUUUGAGGGGCAGCUCCUCCUCUUGACACCCCAGCUGUUCACCGGCACAGCCUGGAGCCCACCCUGCUGUCGGGGCUGCGGUGAGAAUCUGCUGAGGGCCUGUGUUGCAGGGUCUGGUGUCGCCCAGGGAAGUUCUGCACCAGGUCGAAUCUCCAGGCCUCCUAUUGUGUUUUAAUCACAGCCUACCUGUCUAGACCUAGUGUGUCCUACAGGGUGUGCGGUGGCCAGGCCCCAGGGGGCCCUAGGGACCCUCACCUCCCAGCAUCUGUCACCUCCUGCCCUCCCGUGGUCUUCUGGGCUUGGUCUGUGCAACCCACAGCCCUUGGUGGGAGUGUUGGUGUGUGGCUUCCUGGGCGCCCAGGGCCCCUCGGCGGGGCUGGUUAGAACCAGUACUGUGGCACAGACAGCAGCUGGUGCCAGGUGGCCCUGGCCGGAGACACUCAGGGCACAUGGACGUGCAAAGACAGCAGGCGGCCGAACACCUGUCACCGUCCCAUGUCACGUAAGGGGAGCAGUGCACAUCGGCACUGGCCGUGUGAGCCCGUGGUGUGUAAAUUCCUCCAGGGAACGGGUUCACCAGCCCUGCGGAGAGCCGUGCGUGCAGCUGGCAGGGGGGGGUCCCUGAGAAGAUCCCGGCCCUGCUGUGCUCGACUCUGCGGGGGAUGCUCAGCCCUCCUCGACAGAAGGGAGUCAGCGUGAAACAGCCUUAGGUUCCCAGGCUCCAGAUCCUCUUCUCCUCCCUCACUGGGUCCCAGUCAUUGCCCCAUUGUCUGGAUCUCGGAGGCUGCCCCUGGUGCUGGCUGAAGCCCACCCACCAUCCCCAAAGGCCGCUCCUUCCCAGGAUGUCCAGAGGCUCUCGGUGCGUCGUUUCCCAGGUGGCCCCUGACGACUGAGGGCUCCAGGCUCUGCACAGUCCACGCUGACACUGGGAUCGGAAGGGCGGAUUCCUCCCUCCUUCCGUCACUCAUUCACUCACCAAUGGGGCACCUGCCAUGGGCCAGGAGCAGAGUAGAGGGUGUUGGAAGCGAACCCAUGGGUGGGCGGUCGGGUGGGGAGGGAAGCCCGCCUGCCUCUGCCCACAGGAGCCCAGGCCUGACACGGCCCCAGGACACAGGCCCCUGCCCCACACGGCAGCACGGAUUCCCACGGCCCAGGCCUGGCAUGGUUCAGAGGAGGACGUGGACACCAGGUCCACUGGGGGCUGCCUGGACACCCUGGAAACUGUGUGCACCACCCGGGUGGCCGUGGGAGCGCGGCGCUCAGCCUGAGAAGGACCCAGCGUCAGAAGCCCCUGCAGGCGCCAGAGCCGGCCCUCGGACACUUCACCUCAGGAAACUGUAGCCUCGUCUGGGCUCCGACGGCCCUUCCUUGAGGUCUUGCCGUUUCUCUCAUUUGGUGGAGGAGGUCACGGCCUGUGGCACUCAGGCCCCGGCUUUGACGGCGAUGCUGAGCCCCUAACCCCCGGCCUCAGCCUCAUCUUGCCAAGAGGAUGAUCCUGUGGAAAGGUGAAGUCGCUCCUGAAAUUGGGGGGCGGGUCUGAGCCCCCAGUUGGGUUUGCUAAGGCUUGGACCGGUGCUGCCAAAGGCCCUUCCGACCACGUCAUGGGCAGGGCGCAGGGCCAGAGCCAGGGCCACCCUGCAAGAGCCAAGCCCCUGGAGACCACUGCCGGUGGGGAAACUGGGGAAAUAGGUGCUCUGGAGGUAUUUGGGGGAAGGGUGAAGGAGGAGCCGACUGCAGCCCAGGUCCCCCUGCCCCCGCUUGCUGGGGUUGGGACCUCGGCUCCUCUGCCCCAGUGGGAUCAGCUGCUCCAAGCCCCGCCACAGUUGGGAGGCCCUUGGAGGGGCUCAGGGAGCAGAGCCCGCUGUGGUGGGUGGGGCAGCCUUGGUAGUGGAGGGGGCUCCUGAACCGCCCAUUCUCUGGGGCACUUGCCUCCCUCCUGUGCCCUAGGCGAGAUACCAGAGGAGGGGGCUUGGAGGCCCUAGGCCUGAUUGGACGCCGCCCUCAGCAGUGAGUAAAAAGCCAUGGGGUGAGGCGGAGGCUCGGGGCUGGGCCUUCAUCCCUGCCUUGCUUGGGCUGGCCUGGGCCGUCCCAAGCCUCGGUCCCACUGAAUCAUCACACGCACCCUGCACGAAAGGGAAACUGAGGCCUAGAGAGGCAGGGCUGAUCCAAGGUCACCCAGGGUCUCCUCGCUGGGUUGGGCUGCCUGACCCUGACCCCGGGCUCUUCAGCCCCGCACCACAUCCCUCUCGGACUGGGACCCAGGCACCCUCUGGGCCUCCGUGGUCCUGUGUGAGCUCCAGCCGUGGCCGCGUCAGAGGCCGGAGCUCUGCGUCUGCUCUGGUACUUCCUGCCGCGGAGCCCGACUUGCCCGGGCUCCCUGCUCCUCAGAGGCUCCACUUAGACACAGGUGUGCUGGGUGCGAGAGGCCGUGCAUAGGGCACAGCUGCUCUGGGCAGGGAAGGGCUACUGCAGUGUGGGCCCCUCCUCCCUGGGCCGUCUCUUCCCUUCUGUCUCCUGAUGCCUCCCCGCCCCUGUCCUCUCCAUCCACCUCUGUCCUCUGUCUCCCAGCCCAGACAUCAUCCUGGCAGGAGAAGGACCCUGUGGGGUGCGCUCUGCCCCUCACUCCCACCCCAGCCUGUGACCUAAGAGCUCCGGAUGGGACAUCCAAAGGCGUGACCUCCUGUUGGCUCCUACAUCUGGGGCCAUAUGUCCCAAGGUCCCACAUGCCCUGGCCAGCGCCCCUUGGAGCCCUCACCCACCCUCCCUGACUCCCUAGGGAGAGUGUGGACCGCCCCGCCUGCUGCAGAGGCCUGGGCAGCCAGCCCAGAGGGCUCACCUCAUCUGUUUUUAAGCACAAGCCCAUGAAAGAUUCACAGGCUCCUUUAUUUACAGGUGGUGGGAAUGGCAUUGCGCCCAGCACACCCACCAGGAGGCCGGACAACCCGUCGGCCAGGGCCGGGCACGGUGGCUCACAUCUGUAAUCCCAGCACUUCGGGAGGCCGAAGCGGGCAGAUCACUUGAGGUCAAGAGUUUGAGACCAGCCUGGCCAACAUGACAAAACCCUGUCUCUAUUAAAAAUACAAAAAUUAGCCGGGUGUGGUGUCGGGCGCCUGUAAUCCCAGCUACUCAAGAGGUUGAGGUAGGAGAAUUGCUUGAACCCAGGGGGCAGAGCUUGCAGUGAGCCGAGAUCACGCCA